GUGUCAGCCGCCGCGGUAACACGUAGGAGGCGAGCGUUAUUCGGAUUUACUGGGCGUAAAGCGCGUGUAGGCGGCUCUAUAAGUUGGAUGUGAAAGCCCUGGGCUCAACCCGGGAAGUGCAUUGGAAACUGGACAGCUUGAGUACGGGAGAGGGUAGUGGAAUUCCGAGUGUAGGGGUGAAAUCCGUAGAUAUUCGGAGGAACACCGGUGGCGAAGGCGGCUACCUGGACCGAUACUGACGCUGAGACGCGAAAGCGUGGGGAGCAAACAGGAUUAGAUACCCUGGUAGUCCACGCCGUAA
rnacentral:rRNA from 1 species